CACCUGGGGAGUGCGGCCGCAAGGUUAAAACUCAAAUGAAUUGACGGGGGCCCGCAUAAGCGGUGGAGCAUGUGGUUUAAUUCGACGCAACGCGAAGAACCUCACCUGGCCUUGACAUCCAGAGAACUUUCCAGAGAUGGAUUGGUGCCUUCGGGAACUCUGAGACAGGUGCUGCAUGGCCGUCGUCAGCUCGUGUCGUGAGAUGUUGGGUUAAGUCCCGUAACGAGCGCAACCCCUAUCCCUGGUUGCUAGCAGGUAAUGCUGAGAACUCCAGGGAGACUGCCGGUGACAAACCGGAGGAAGGUGGGGAUGACGUCAGGUCAUCAUGGCCCUUACGGCCAGGGCUACACACGUGCUACAAUGGCGCGUACAGAGGGCUGCCAACUCGCGAGAGUGAGCCAAUCCCUUAAAGCGCGUCGUAGUCCGGAUCGGAGUCUGCAACUCGACUCCGUGAAGUCGGAAUCGCUAGUAAUCGCGAAUCAGAAUGUCGCGGUGAAUACGUUCCCGGGCCUUGUACACACCGCCCGUCACACCAUGGGAGUGGAUUGCACCAGAAGUAGUUAGUCUAACCUUCGGGAGGACGAUUACCACGGUGUGGUUCAUGACUGGGGUGAAGUCGUAACAAGGUAACCGUA
rnacentral:rRNA from 1 species